AUCACCUGGUUCGGCUUCCCAACAGUUUGACACGUAUGACAAGUACGGCAGUACUGAGCCACAUCUUUCUUUAAGCCUGGCCAGAAAAAAUGUCUCAGAAUCCUAUCAUACGUCUUUGUAAUUCCUAAGUGACCUGCAAGCUGAUGAUCAUGCGCUAAACAUAACACAUGUUUACGAUAAGGAAAAGGAACGACCACCUGGUACACAACAUUCCACUCUGAAUCAUUUGUGUUAGAACACCACUUCCUCAUCAAUAACUCAUUCUCCCGAAAGUAAGCAACUUUUUGAUCUUUAACUGAAUCAAGAGAGACGGCAGAAUUAAAAACAGCAUUGAGAGACUCAUCUUCUUUUUGUGCAGUAAUAAUUUUUUCUCGUGACACGGGUAAUUUUAACGCAUCGGCGUCAGACACAUUUUCUCUGUUAACCUCUGUCUGUGAUUUAUCUAUUUUUGGCGACGUACCGGCACACAAUUCGUCACCAGAAAAAAGAGUGAUAAAAACAGAGUCAGACAAAUCAACCAUAUCACCCACUUUACGCGACUGAGCGCGGGUGACAGCGCAUGCGGGAAAAACUUCAGGAUCAUUUCCAAGGAUAAAAUCAACGCCCUGGACAGGAAGAGAAGGACGUACUGCCACUCUUACAAAUCCCGUACAUAAGUCACUCUGCAGGUGGAUACGAUGUAAUGGCACAGUAAUACAACUCAUGUCAAUGCCUUGAACUAUCACACUUGAAUUACAGAAAGUGUCCUCAGAGAAUGGUAAUUUAUCUGCCACAAUAAAAGACUGCAUUGCACCGGUGUCUCUGAGCAUUCUUAUUUCUUUCUGUUCGUCACAAUUUCCCUUUAGAGAAAUUAACCCUUUCAAGAUAAAAGGUUGAUAACUGUCAUCGAUUUUCUCCACUCUAGGUACACUGACAGUCGGCUUACAAGUCUUCACAAACCCUACGCUCUUAGGCUGCUGCUUGCGUUUUAAAGACAGACAAUCUGCGAUCACAUGUCCUUGUUUGUGACAGUAAAAACAUUCACGAUCCUCUCUCGUACGAGUUGGACUGUGUUUGGGACGGACUGGUGGGUUUUGCAAAGGAACAGAUUGUGAUCGCUCUGGACGUGCAAGUGCAAAAACGUUUUUGUGGGUUAAAACAAACUCGUCCGCUAACACAGCUGCUUGAGACAACGAAAUUACUUUCUGUUCAUUUAGGUAGACCACUACACGAUCAGGUAAACACCCUUUGAACUCUUCGAGCAGUACAAGUUCUC